rnacentral:lncRNA from 1 species
CUCGUUGGCUCCAGUCGGCAGAGCGGUCAUUUAGUUCUAGCUUCCCCGCUGGGCGAAUGCACCGUUUAGCUCCGCCUUACAGAGGGAACCACACCUUGACGUCGCUUCUACAGAUCUCUUACCUAUGACUUUAGGCUCGUCGGAUACGCGGGGGACCCUGAGUGAAGGCUGCAGACUCAUCAGGGGCAGAUGGAAAAAUACCAGGAUUGAGCCUCUCAGAAGUGAUGCUUGAAUCCAGUCUUCAAAGAUGAGGACUCCGGCAGGUGACGUGGCAAUAGCGUUUUGGAGGGACCAGUCCAGAUACACAGGCAUGGAGCCAUGCAUUUGUUCCAGAAAGUGUAUUUGGAUGGAACCGGAACAUGGAACAG